AGUCGUAUUUCCUGCUUCGUCUCUAGGUCAAGGGAUGAGUUAAUAUUUAGCGCAAAAAAAAUUAAAAAAAUUAGAUGGGGUGUUAUCGACACAAAAUGGAUGCAUGUAUAUUGAUGCAAACAAGUGCGUUGAUGUGAAAACAUGUUUAGUCAUCGGCAAUUUGAUUGUUCACGGCGGCGUUGCGUUGUUGUUUUCAAAUCACCUUAAGCAUGAAGAUCGGAGUCGGCGAUGAAAUUAUUGUGGAGCUUAUGUGAAUGUGUAUUUUAUCAAUAGUUUCUAUCAUAUUACCAUUUCAUAGGUUACUUAUUGUCUGCUUUAUUGUUAGCAAGUCAUCUUCUUAAUUCUAGCUGCAGACUGCCAAGUCCAUCAUUGGCUAGGGGUAAUGGGCAUUUUUUGUUUUUCUUAUAAAGGUGGAACGAUUAGGGUAUAGGGAGUAACUCUGAGCCAGAUGGAGUGAUGCAGGGAGCUUGGUGUACUCAAAUGGUAUCGGCCCUUUUAGUCGGUGAACAGGCAAGUGUCUAAGAGAUGGAUUUGUGGAGUGUUAGUGACAAAACUAUCCUCAUAUGUAAUUCUAUGGUGUGACGAAGAUAAUCAUUCUGAAUUAGUAACAAUAGGCUUUGGUACUACUUUCCUCCAUUGUAAAUUGGUUGAGGAAAGGAUAACCAAAAGUGGCUUACGGGGGCUAACUUGGAUAUAAUUGUGCACCAGGAGCGUCAUUAAGCAGGAUGGGAGGGAGGGUAGGAGUCUGUAUCUCAACAUUUUAGCAUUACAUAAAGAUUUAGGUUGAGAGAAGAGGGUGAUGCUUAAGGAUUUGAAGGUAAUUAUGGGCGACAAGAACCUACUUCCAUCUAUACUCAGGCAGGAGUUAUGCAUCAAUCUUUAAUUUUUAGAGCACUGCAUCUAAGUUUAUGCACAUGAAUAAUGAACAUGACCUUGAUUUUACAUAUUUCCAUGAAAUAGAUACUUAAUUUAGCACUAAAAACACGCACAUAAAUCUCCCAAUGGAUGAAAGGAUCAGGGUACUUCUUUUUCCACACCCACUGCUUUCUUUUCAAUGUCAUCAAUAAACUCGCCCUCCUGCCAAUUGUUUAGUUCUUUUUCCAGACCCUUUGCGGGAACUUCUGACUGCUGAACUUUGUAUUGAUGUCUUCUUGCAAAGGCAAGAAAAACAAUGAAGUUAAUGACUCCCAAGACCGCAAGCAUCCAAUAAAAGUUCUCCAACUUACCUUUGUUAAGGUUGUUCCUAAGCCAACUUUUCCCAGUUGCCGCAACUACCAAAGUUACCAACAAGCUACUGACGAAAUACCCCAUUGCCAAAGUGCUUAGGAACAAUCCUGUGCUCAUGGAUUUCAUCCUUUCCGGUGCUUCUCUAAUGAAAAAUUCCAGCUGGCCAACAUAAGCAAAUGCUUCCCCUGCACCAACUAUGAAGAACUGGGGGACUAACCAGAAAGCAGUGAUUCGGGUGUUCUCGUGGACUGCCAUCUCUCUCCUUCUCUUUUCAAUGAUAGCAGCAGCUACCAUACCAGCCACUGAGAAAAGAAGCCCAAUUGCUACUCGCUGAAGGCUUGUUAGCCCUUGAGGUUCGUGAGUAAUUUUCCGCGCCAUAGGGACAAUUACUCUUUCGUUUAAGGAUGUAAAGAGAAGAAUUGUGAGGAACAGGAAAACCGAGAAUGAACCUGCAGGGAUUUCAAAUGAACCAACAUUUCGUUUCAUGAAAGUUGCUUGCUCAAUCGUGAAAGUGUUCAUUUGAGAGUAUAUUGUCCAAAAAAGGAUACAUGUAGACCAUAUGGGGAUGAGUUGCAGAACCAUUUUUACUUCUUCAACUUGCAUCACAGUAGAAACCAACCAAGGAUUGUUUGUGUUACCACUUGCCACCACUUGAUCAUCAAGGAUUGCUGCCCUGUCUAGACACCUGAGCCUUUGUGUAUGUGCAACUUCUGAAGUGUGGUACUCGUUUAAAAAGCUAUUCUGAGAAGGAAAGGGAAUACUCCGCUUCUUCCAAGCCAAAUACACCACUCUCCAUAUUGUAGUUAAUGGACUACCUUGUGGUUUCCUGAAACGAUACAAUUUCGUUCCACCUAGCAAAACUGCCACUGCCACUAUCAUUGUCCCUGCCGAUAUUCCAUAGCCCCAACCUCUUCCCACAUUAUCUUGUAUAUAAACCAGAAUAGUCACAGCAAAUAGCGACCCAAGGCUGAUGCAAAAAUAAAACCUAUUGAAGAAGUAAACCAUGGCCUUAUGCUCCUUGGGGUUCGAUGCAUCAAACUGAUCAGACCCAAAACCAGAGACAUUUGAUUUUAUACCGCCACCUCCCAAAGCAAUUGUAUAGAGUGCCAGGUAAAGCAUUGCUAGCUGGCUUCCAUUUGCCUUAAUGCAGGUAUUUCUUCUUGAAUCAUCACAUGGAGGGGGUUUUAAGCUGGCGAUACUUGUGGAAACCGUCAAUAGUGCAACUCCCUGUUGGAUAAGGUGCAAGGAGGUCUACACAAUGGCAAUUAUUUAGCUAAGCCUCAUUUUCAUUUAAGGAGUUUGUGAUAUGCCAAUCACACUUAUUUCAAGGGAAGCUCCAUGCACCGGUGCUAUAUAGUAUGUAGAAAGAAAAAAAAAGGAGCGUUUUGCUUCUGACGUGUUGUUCUCUGGUGUGCUCAACCAUACAACUAAUUUCAAGAAAACGGAAGACAAAGGCAUAUACCUGUUUGAAUUCCUGAUACAGAAAGCUUGAUAACAAUGCCACCAAUAUAUUCUGCAAACACUAGGUGUCAUUUGUUCUUCCUGUAUCAGGUGACAAACUUGGAUACUAUUGUAUGAUUCUACAAUUUCAACUUUACAUCAAUCUAAAACCUUUGCACCUUCUUAUAUCUAAUGAUCUACUUUGACUGCUUCUUAGUUGGAUGAGAUGGUUGAUUAUUCUGUCGGGUGGAUGAGACUUUAAGUAUGAUUGACAACUAUUGUUCAUUGAUUAACCUGAUUGUAUGAUUAUGCAAGUAACUGUUUGUAUCCACAACGUGCCGUGGUCCCUAAAUUAUUUGGUUUCUUUCACUAAUAUAGACAAGCAUCUUGAUUUGUAGUCGUUCAUCUUAUCACUUUCGUUUUACCUUCCUUUCACUUUUGUUGUUUCAGAUAUUUUAACCACACAACAAAACACACAUAUGCUAACUAUAUUCACACCCAGUAGUAUACUUCCGAGAGAUGAUUAUGCUUCCUGCUUUAGGUCUGUUCGAAUUACUAUUGCCUAAAUAGUAAUUUGGCCUCAUUACUUUGGCUUGUACGAAAGAAAUUUCUUCAUAUUCUCAAAAGGUAAAAGUCUCGAGAGCAUUUUUUUUCAGGAAUUGGAAGCUACCAACUCAAGUGAAGAACAAUCUGGACAGAACACUUCUUCUGUAUAAACAAAAGUUUAUGACUAUCAUAUUAUAUGGUAUAACAAACAUGCACAAGAACAUACAAGUUAAUUUGAAAGAACCCAUAGUAAUAUCUCUAUGUACCACU